AGGGUGUAAACGCUGCAGACUUGGUGUUGGAGGCCCUUUGGGGGCAUUCAGUGCCGGAGAGAAGUUGUUAAGUCUGCUACUUGGGGAGUACGUCCGCAAGGAUGAAACUUAAAGGAAUUGGCGGGGGGAGCACCGCAACGGGAGGAGCGUGCGGUUUAAUUGGAUUCAACACCGUAAAACUCACCAGGGAAGACUGUUACAUGAAAGUCAGGUUGAUGACCUUACUAGAUUUUCAGAGAGGAGGUGCAUGGCGUCAGUGACU
rnacentral:rRNA from 1 species